GACGAACGCUGGCGGCGUGCUUAACACAUGCAAGUCGAACGGAAAGGCCCUGCUUUUGUGGGGUGCUCGAGUGGCGAACGGGUGAGUAACACGUGAGUAACCUGCCCUUGACUUUGGGAUAACUUCAGGAAACUGGGGCUAAUACCGGAUAGGAGCUCCUGCUGCAUGGUGGGGGUUGGAAAGUUUCGGCGGUUGGGGAUGGACUCGCGGCUUAUCAGCUUGUUGGUGGGGUAGUGGCUUACCAAGGCUUUGACGGGUAGCCGGCCUGAGAGGGUGACCGGCCACAUUGGGACUGAGAUACGGCCCAGACUCCUACGGGAGGCAGCAGUGGGGAAUAUUGCACAAUGGGCGGAAGCCAGAUGCAGCAACGCCGCGUGCGGGAUGACGGCCUUCGGGUUGUAAACCGCUUACGCCUGUGACGAAGCGUGAGUGACGGUAAUGGGUAAAGAAGCACCGGCUAACUACGUG
rnacentral:rRNA from 1 species